AUACAAUCAGCUACAGGUUGAUCUUAAAAUUUGAUCUCGUGUGCCAAGGCUGUAAACAGCAGCCUGCCUUGUAGUGUUUGCAGCCCGCAGCUUGUUGCUUGUAUGGGUUGCUCUAAGGGUCCUUGGAGACAGCC
rnacentral:snoRNA from 1 species